UGGGUUCAAUCUAACUGGUGACUCUAGAUAAAAAGUAUAUAGGCAAUUUUUUUUUUUAACUUUGUGUGAGUAUUUUCAAAAUAACAGAAGUGGAGAGUGUUAUGGUUUGAGUUUGGCCCGGGGGUGUUAGAAGUUUGGUUCUCAGUGUGGUGAUGUCAAGAAUGGGGUCUGACAAGGGAGUCCUUGUGUUACUGGGAGCCAGACUUCUAAGUUCUAAGGGACUCUUAUGCUCCUGCCAGACUGAAUGAAGAGUGACACCACCCCCCCAAAAAAAGAGAGUGAGCCCAACUGCCCAACUGUUCUCUGGCUUCCUGUUUUGCUCUGUGAUCUCUUCCUCUUGCCCUCACUGCAUCAUGAUGUGAUCUGCCAUGAUGUGCUGCAGCCAAGAGGGCCCUCACCAGAGCUAAGUCGAAGUCUUUGAACCUCCAGAACUCAUUUUCUUUCUGGAAACAGAUCUUUACCAAAUCUGGAAAAGAUGAUAUGAACGGCUCCUUAAACUCAUUUCAACUAUGUACAUCAAUGGAAAAAUAAAAAAGUUAUUUCAGAUUUGUAGACAGAAUCUCACUCUGUAACCCAGUCUGGUCUUGAAUUCACCAUCCUCCUGCUUCAGUCUCCCAAGUGCUGAGACUAACUACGGCAAACACCAUCACACCUGGCCUUUAUAUUGCUUCUUCAUAUAACCUUUGCCAUGACUAGAAGGCACAGAUCACCAAAGAUACAUAUGGGAGGAUGUGUCCUAGAACUUCACACAAACCCGAGCAAGAAAAUCCGUCCUUGUGAUGCGGUAACCAACAGUGCAUACCUAAGAGCUGCUCAAAGCAAGUAGCAGCAAUCACAGAACUGUUCUUCAAAGACCCAUAAAUCCAAGUUGGAAGGAAAGGUAUUGACAGGAGGAAGUGCUAAUAUUCUUUAGUCUGUCUGUCCCUGGCAUUUUCCUUUUUCAAAUUUAUUAAACAACUUCUUAAAAAUGUACUUUUAUACUGUUCAAAAUAAUAUUUCACAGAAUAUUGUCAAGUUAUUUUUUCCUUCAAAAGGUAGCCAGAAACAUUAUCAGCAAGCUGGAAGGCUGUUAACAAAAAAAGCAUCUAGUUUCCUUAGCAACAAACAAGUUGAAAAAAAUCAAGAGGUUGACAAUAAAGUGGAGUAGAUGGCAUGAUAAAAGGAAAAGGCAGCUCUUGUGUAGGCACCAUAAGAGGCCAGACUCCUGCACUAAUGCUUCUUUUUUCAUCUUGUCAGUAUGGAAAAUCUAUGUAUUAUACAGAGUGGAGGGCAAAAUCAACACACUCAGAAUGCAGCCAGCAUUACCACACAAACUUUCACUCAUAACCAUAUCUCUAACAGUCACCAAUUUUCAUGCUGGACGUUGUGCCUUUUCCUUACAAUAUUAACUUUUUUUUUUUUGGUGCCAGGGAUUGAACUCAGGUCCUUCGCUUGCAAGGUAAGUGGUGGAACCACAAAGCCAAAUCCCAGGCCCCACAAUAUUAACUAUUUUUAAUUAAUGAACUAUUUUCAAUGACAUGUACACAGGUAAAAAUAAUCUUGGUUUUACAAAGCUUCUAUCUAUAAAAUUUGGCUAUGCAUUUAUUAGAGGUUAACUUUUAACAUUUUAGGGAGAUAAAAAUUGGUAUGUUUGUGGAUUUUGGUUUCAAAUGAUGUAUUUUUCACAAGAGACAAAAACUUAGCAAUUAACAUCAUGGUCAUGUCAAAAAAUGAAGACUUGGGGCCAGGGAUUUAGUUCAGUGGUUAUGAAACUUGCCUCACAAGUACCAUGUCAUGAGUUCAGUCCUUGAUACCGAAAAAAAAAA